rnacentral:sRNA from 1 species
ACUCAACACUAUUUUUUUAAAAAGGGUGAGUCUAAGCUAGUAAAGCAUGCCGUAUGUGUAAAUUUAUUUACCAUCGCGGAUUCUUGAUCAGCCAGUUAGCCCUAAACUUGUCUUACAAGGAGUUU